UGCAUUCCUAUAAGUAUGAGAACUUCUUGAGUCUUAUUAGUACGUUGUUUGCUUUCAAAAGGCUAUAUCUGCGAGUAAAGGCGGAGUGAGGAAAAAUCAAUUUAAGGAGUUUUAAGCGAACGAGGUUGAGCAGUGAUGACGGCGGGCGGUGUUGAGCAUAGACGAUGAAGAUCAUUCGAUAGAAUAGUACUUGGAUGCGUCGUGUCUCCAUACACGAUGUCAUCUGCUCUUGACUCUUCCGCUGCAAUGUAAAAGUCGAGAUUUCAUUC